GACGAACGCUGGCGGCGUGCUUAACACAUGCAAGUCGAACGGAAAGGCCCUGCUUUUGUGGGGUGCUCGAGUGGCGAACGGGUGAGUAACACGUGAGUAACCUGUCCUUGACUUUGGGAUAACUUCAGGAAACUGGGGCUAAUACCGGAUAGGAGCUCCUGCUGCAUGGUGGGGGUUGGAAAGUUUCGGCGGUUGGGGCUGGACUCGCGGCUUAUCAGCUUGUUGGUGGGGUAGUGGCUUACCAAGGCUUUGACGGGUAGCCGGCCUGAGAGGGUGACCGGCGACAUUGGGACUGAGAUACGGCCCAGACUCCUACGGGAGGCAGCAGUGGGGAAUAUUGCGCAAUGGGCGGAAGCCUGAUGCAGCAACGCCGCGUGCGGGAUGACGGCCUUCGGGUUGUAAACCGCUUUCGCCUGUGACGAAGCGUGAGUGACGGUAAUGGGUAAAGAAGCACCGGCUAACUACGUG
rnacentral:rRNA from 1 species